GUGGCACUGCCCCAAUUUGGGGAUCCCAAUGUCACUGUCACAGCACUGGGGUGACGCUGCCACAAUCUGGGGAUCCCAAAGUGUCACUAUCCCCAUUUUAGGGGUCCCAAUGUCACUGUCACAGCCUGAGAGUGACACUGCCACAGUUUGGGGGUACCACGAUGACACUGCCACAAUUUGGGGGUCCCAAUGUCACUGUCACAGCAUGGGAGUGACACAGCCACAAUUUGGGGAUCCCACAGUAACACC